GACGAACGCUGGCGGCGUGCUUAACACAUGCAAGUCGAGCGAGGUUCAACCGGUGGCAACACCGGGGAAGACCUAGCGGCGAACGGGUGAGUAACACGUGAGCAACCUGUCCCGGAGUCUGGGAUAACACCGGGAAACCGGUGCUAAGUACCGGAUACCCCCACCGGACCGCAUGGUCUGGUGAGGAAAGAUUUAUUGCGUUCGGGAGGGGCUCGCGGGCUAUCAGCUUGUUGGUGAGGUAACGGCUCACCAAGGCGACGACGGCUCGCUGGUCUGAGAGGACGACCAGCCACAC
rnacentral:rRNA from 1 species